GAAUGACAUGAUGAUUGGUUAUUUCCCUAUUGGUUUGAUUGCCUGGAUGAUGGCAUUUUUCGUAUUAGCUCUAUCUGAUCAUUC